rnacentral:rRNA from 1 species
GAUGAACGCUAGCGGAAGGCUUAAUACAUGCAAGUCGAGCGGUAGGUGGCUUCGGCCAUUGAGAGCGGCGCACGGGUGAGUAACGCGUACAUGACCUGCCUGUCAGAAGGGGAUAGCCCUGGGAAACUGGGAUUAAUACCCUAUGGUAUUGAUAUUAUGAAUGAUAUCAAUUAAAGUUGAGGCGCUGACAGAUGGAUGUGCGUCUGAUUAGCUAGUUGGUAGGGUAACGGCCUACCAAGGCGACGAUCAGUAGGGGGCGUGAGAGCGUGGUCCCCCANACGGGUACUGAGACACGGACCCGACUCCUACGGGAGGCAGGCAGUAAGGAAUAUUGGUCAAUGCCCGCAAGGGUGAACCAGCCAUUCCGCGUGGAGGAUGAAGGCCCUAUGGGUUGUAAACUUCUUUUAGAUGGGAAGAAAUGCUAGAUGUAUCUGGUACUGACGGUACCAUCAGAAUAAGCACCGGCUAACUCCGUGCCAGCAGCCGCGGUAA